rnacentral:lncRNA from 1 species
UUCUCUCUCUAGCGGCGGCACUCUCCGCCUUCUCUCUAACUCUAGCCGCCGGUCAACUCCCUCUCUUCUCCUUUUCUUUCUCCGACGCCCCUCCUACACUAUCCUUACUGCCGAAGAUCGGCGAAACCAGAUCCCGAAUCCCCCUUUCUCUAUCACAAACCGGCCGAUCUAAACCUCCAAGAAUCUCUCUUUUUGUUCUGCCGACCGCCCACUACCCUUCUCUCCUGUCGCCGGCUGCCUACCGUACCCGCCAAAUCACGAUUUUUCACUACUCCUAAACUCCUCUCUCCCUCCUUUUCAGAUCUAACUUCUUUUUCUUUUUUUUGCUUCGUGUUUGUUUUUGCUUUUUAUAUCUGUGGCUAGGUAUUUUUUUUGCUGUUAGAUCUAGGAUUUUUUUUGUUUUUUUGUUGUUCCUCCCCCCUUUGAUUUUUUUUGCAGGUGCCCUUUUAAAGAGCCGGGUUGUCC